GUGAAUAUAACAGAAAAUCAGACGGUGACCUGCCAUAUCUUCAACCCCGUUCUGAGAGAGACUGUGAGCAACACAACCAUCGUCAGCUCCAAUCAGAGCAUUAACACAGACCCUGCAGGUGAAGUUCAGAAAGGCUUUUCUCGCGGACGUUAUGGAGCUAUUACAGCAUUGAUUCUGUUUUGCCUCAGUGUCGGUGGGAGGGGGUUAUUUAUGGUACAAAAAAUGUUGUGGAGCCAGUGGUGGAACCAAAGAAGUUGAAGGAAAUAACCAUCAAGGCAAUGGUAGUGUUGAGACAGAGCUUUUGGACAGGUGUAGGCCGGCACCAGACAUUCUAGAGGCAGACAGGUCUGAUCCUGAGUUGGACGCAGACUGAUGAGGUUAUGUAAAGAGGAAAGUCUGAAGCUACAGUAAACGAUGCUAUACAGGAACCAGGUGUAGGCCGGCACCAGACGAUCUAGAGGCAGACUGACAUUUCUUUAUAUACGGGUCCAUAAAUUGGACAUGUCAGUGUACUGUAUCCCAACGGAAUCUACCUCUUCUAUUGGAAGUAUUUGCAUGUUUUUUCUAAUAUUUUCUAAUUAAUAGCCAGCUAUUAGAAAAGCGUUAGAACGUCUACAGUAGAACGUUGUAAAUAAUGUGUCUGGAAAUGUUCUACUGUAGAAGUUCUAAAUCAUGGGAGUAUUUAAAAAAAAAAAUACAUUACAAUAUUAAACUACUUCUGUUUUCAAAUAAAAAAUAUCAAAAUAAUUUCUUCCAAAUGUCUUUGAAAAUAAUUGAAAGACCCCAAAUAG